ensembl:snRNA U1 U1 spliceosomal RNA
AUACUUACCUGGCAGGGGAGAUAGCAUGAUCACGAAGGUGGUUUUCCCAGGGCGAGGCUUAUCUGUUGCACUCCGGAUGUGCUGACCCCUGAGAUCUCCCCAAAUGUGGGAAACUCGACUGCAUAAUUUGUGGUAGUGUGGCACUGCGUUCGUGCUCUCCCCUA